NCGAAGGUGGCGGAAUUGGUAGACGCGCUAGCUUCAGGUGUUAGUGUCCUUACGGACGUGGGGGUUCAAGUCCCCCCCCUCGCACCA
rnacentral:tRNA from 1 species